UUCCACUUCGAGUGCUCGAACCUCGAGUACAGUUUUGAUGUGAUAAUUCAUUGCAAGACAGUUUCAUUUAGAUUUUUUUUACUUAUUUUUGGUGUUGGAGCUUAUAUAGUGUGGUUUCCUGUUAUCUUAUUGAGAAGCGGCAAUAAAAAUUCAAAAAUGUAGUGAUAAGAAGGUGGCGGAGCAAGAAAUUGGACGAUGGUUGAGGAGAGCCGGGGAUCGCUUAAAAACUUUCAAGGAAAAGGAAUCAGAAUAAAAAUUGAAUUUAUUUUUUUUU
rnacentral:lncRNA from 1 species